rnacentral:rRNA from 1 species
UACGGGGGGAGCAAGCGUUGUUCGGAUUUACUGGGCGUAAAGGGCGCGUAGGCGGUCAGCACAAGUCAGUUGUGAAAUCUCCGGGCUUAACUCGGAAAGGUCAACUGAUACUGUGCGACUAGAGUGCAGAAGGGGCAACUGGAAUUCUCGGUGUAGCGGUGAAAUGCGUAGAUAUCGAGAGGAACACCUGCGGCGAAGGCGGGUUGCUGGGCUGACACGUGACGCUGAGGAGCGAAAGCCAGGGGAGCAAACGGG